GCAUCGAUGAAGAACGUAGCGAAAUGCGAUAAGUAAUGUGAAUUGCAGAAUUCAGUGAAUCAUCGAAUCUUUGGACGCACAUUGCGCUC
rnacentral:rRNA from 1 species